AGCAGCCGCGGUAAUUCCAGCUCCAAUAGCGUAUAUUAAAGUUGUUGCAGUUAAAAAGCUCGUAGUUGAAUUUCGGGAUCAAAUUGUCGGUCGUGCCUCGGUACGCACUGGCGUUAUUGGUUCCUCCCUUCUGAAGAACCGCGAUGUCAUUAAUUUGGUGUCGCGGGGAAUCAGGACUGUUACUUUGAAAAAUUAGAGUGUUUAAAGCAAGCUCGCGCUUGAAUACAUUAGCAUGGAAUAAUGAAAUAGGACGUUUGAUUCUAUUUUGUUGGUUUCUAGGAUCGACGUAAUGAUUAAUAGGGAUAGUUGGGGGCAUUAGUAUUCAAUUGUCAGAGGUGAAAUUCUU
rnacentral:rRNA from 1 species